GUUCCAUUAGCUCAGUUGGUUAGAGCGCCAGUCUAAUAACAUGGUUAGCCAGCUGGAUGUCACUGGUUCGACCCCAGUAUGGAACA